GAUGAACGCUGGCGGCGUGCCUAAUACAUGCAAGUCGAGCGAACAGAUGAGGAGCUUGCUCCUCUGACGUUAGCGGCGGACGGGUGAGUAACACGUGGAUAACCUACCUAUAAGACUGGGAUAACUUCGGGAAGCCGGAGCUAAUACCGGAUAAUAUAUUGAACCGCAUGGUUCAAUAGUGAAAGACGGUUUUGCUGUCACUUAUAGAUGGAUCCGCGCCGCAUUAGCUAGUUGGUAAGGUAACGGCUUACCAAGGCGACGAUGCGUAGCCGACCUGAGAGGGUGAUCGGCCACACUGGAACUGAGACACGGUCCAGACUCCUACGGGAGGCAGCAGUAGGGAAUCUUCCGCAAUGGGCGAAAGCCUGACGGAGCAACGCCGCGUGAGUGAUGAAGGUCUUCGGAUCGUAAAACUCUGUUAUUAGGGAAGAACAAAUGUGUAAGUAACUAUGCACGUCUUGACGGUACCUAAUCAGAAAGCCACGGCUAACUACGUG
rnacentral:rRNA from 1 species